UGCUCAGGGUAUGCACUCCAUGGUUUGC
rnacentral:piRNA from 1 species